AUCAUUUGAAUGAACUUUGUUCAAAGAGUGAGUUUUCUCCUCUCUAAAUUCGUACGAGUUUCGAUCUGACUUAUCUAACAUGCUAGUGGCGUCUAUCGUUCUCUUUUGAACUUAUCACCUUGCUUUGGUGUGGCGUUCAACCUUCUACAAUUCCGCAAUCCCACCUUGAACCGAAUAGAAAUCGGGGUGACACUUUUAGUGUUGAAUCGUUUAUGGUGUUUAAGCUCAUUUAUCCAUUCCACCGACUAUCCUAGAUUUUACCCAACUAUAAUAUCUUUUUACAAAACCGAGCCUUCAUUUAUCAACUUCCAUUUUUCUUAUUUUUAUACUUAAAUCGAGCCUACUACACUUAUAAAUUUACCAUCACCUUAGCCAACCUUUAAAACCAUUUGAAAGCUUCCGCAUCUUUAGCCUUAUUUCAUCCUAUUUUCGAUAACUCAACUAUUCCUCGUCGACGAUCGGGCAAUCAAAUGAAUCGACUCAAUCAACCGAGCCAGAUCACAUCAUGAUUGGCCUAAACACGAGGGCCCUAAGUGCAAGAUGAAGCUCAAUCUCAGCUCAACAAGCUCAAUCUUAGUUUUUCCCAGCUCAAUUUAGCUCACAUGAGCUUAAUUUAGCUCGCUUGAGCUCAAUUUAGCUCGUUUGAGCUCAAUUUAGCUUACUUUAGCUCGUUUGAGCUUGGCUUAAGUUUAUUUCAACUCAUUUAUUUUAAUGUCUAAAUAAAUUAAGUAAUUUAUUAAUUUAGCUUAAAUUACUACAGCUUAUAAUUAUGUUUUGACUUAUUACAUGUUUUAAAUGUGUCUUGGCC
rnacentral:lncRNA from 1 species